UGAAUUGUAACGUAUUUCUUCAGGUUGCCCUUCUGUUUCUGUCCUUUACAACCAUCAGAACAGAUAAAUGGUUUUCUUCUAGCUUUCCUCCCCUUUUGUUGCUCUGAGUUGUUCAUGUGACCAGAUGCUUUUCCAUAUUUAGAGCCUUUAAAUAGUUUUUCAUCAGUGUUGUCUGAAUGAACAAUACUGGUAUUUUUCUGACAGUUAAAACUUGACUGAAGUUCUCUGGUCUGUUUC